UCCCUGGUGGCUCAGAGGUUAAAGCGUCUGCCUCCAAAGUAGGAGACCUGGGUUCAACCCCUGGGUUGGGAA
rfam:Ovis aries breed Texel chromosome 9, whole genome shotgun sequence.